GGCGCUCGGACCGCGACCCCAGGUCAGGCGUGGCCACCCGCUGAAUUUAAGCAUAUCAAUAAGCGGAGGA
rnacentral:rRNA from 7 species